rnacentral:rRNA from 1 species
AGCGAACGCUGGCGGCAGGCUUAACACAUGCAAGUCGAGCGGGCACUUCGGUGUCAGCGGCAGACGGGUGAGUAACACGUGGGAACGUACCCUUUGGUUCGGAAUAACGCUGGGAAACUAGCGCUAAUACCGGAUACGCCCUUUUGGGGAAAGGCUUGCUGCCGAAGGAUCGGCCCGCGUCUGAUUAGCUAGUUGGUGGGGUAAUGGCCUACCAAGGCGACGAUCAGUAGCUGGUCUGAGAGGAUGAUCAGCCACACUGGGACUGAGACACGGCCCAGACUCCUACGGGAGGCAGCAGUGGGGAAUAUUGGACAAUGGGCGCAAGCCUGAUCCAGCCAUGCCGCGUGAGUGAUGAAGGCCUUAGGGUUGUAAAGCUCUUUUGUCCGGGACGAUAAUGACGGUACCGGAAGAAUAAGCCCCGUCUAACUUCGUG